rnacentral:rRNA from 1 species
UACGUAGGAUGCAAGCGGUGUCCGGUUUUAUUGGGUUUAAAGGGGGCGUAGGCGGCAUAUAAAGGUAGUGGUGAAAACGUUCGGCUUAACCGGCUACCCGCCAUUGAUACUGAUAGACUUGAGUGCGACAGAGGGUGUUGGAAUGUGUGGUGUAGCGGUGAAAUGCUUAGAUAUCACGCAGAACACCAAUUGCGAAGGCAGAUGCCUAGGUCGUAACUGACGCUGAGGCAAGAAUGCGUGGGGAGCAAACAGG